GGGUUGGCUGUGCACCAAAGUUUACUAUGGGUCAACCCAUUUCUAGUAUUAUUCACUUUUCUUUUAAUCAUCUUAUCUCUUCAUCUUCUCAGCUCCUCACAACCACUCACUCUUUCUCUUCAGAAACACAAAGCUUUGUUAUAGGUGGUCUUCUAACUCCCAGAUCUCAUCUUUAAAUCCAUCAAAUCCUUCACCAAAUGAAUUGGGUAUGGAGUGAGUACAUAAGAGGCAAAACGGACUACCAUCACACAGAAGUCCUCUCUUCCAUCAUUCUAAAGUUGAAAUCAUGGCUGGGUAACCCCUAAUUUUUCACUGCGUGAGGCAUCACAAACAGCAGCAAGACCCUCCUAGUUGUGCGAGACUAGGCCCAAAAUCGUUCAAUGGUUGUCCCAAGAACAACUUCGUUGUAACCUAUUAAAUGUAACAGCAGCUACUUGGCUUGACGAUAACAGCAGCUACUUGGCCUGAUGAUAACAGCAGCUACUUGGUAGCGAUUUAAACUUGAGUUCAUAAGAACAGGGCUCAUAGGCAGGAAAGGUGUGGGAGCUAGAUGUAUGAGAGUUUAGCAGAGAGAGAGAGUUCCGGCAACAACAUGGUUCUGGGUUUUGGAUUAAGGUUGUUUGAAUAUUGAUGGCUAGAUUAUCAGAGAUGAAGCUUGAUCUCUUGCUUGAUGUUUUUGGGUGUUGUGGCUUGGUUUCCUACGGCAACGAACUCGCCCUUUAUAGCGGCGAUAGAGGGGGUGGAUUUGCGCCAAGAACCAGAGGCUUUGAAAGAGUAUUCUUAGUUUUGAUGGGAUCAUUCUAAAACCUUCAGCUUUUGUUUUCCCUAUGAAAUCAAAAGAGUGAAAGCCUGCUUUGGCCAUGUGGGUAAAGACCGGUGGUGCAGGUAUAGGGCGGCGAUGGAGAUCCCAGAUUUCAUGCUGCCGUGAUUUUUGAGAGAUCAUAAUCCCUUGAUUUGUGCUAUUGUAGAUUGUGAUCACAAAUACCUAAAUAUUAUCGGAAAUUGGGGCAGGAUUUUGGAGGAUGAGAGUUGGGAAGCUUUUGUAUAGACUUGGGGUUCUUACCAGAAAAGGAUGGAGUAGUAAUCCCAGCAACAACUUGACAGAACGACAUUCCUGAUUUGGAGAAGACGACUCCAACGUCUUUUUGGGCUACGGGUUCUAAUGUAGUGGACUUUGGGUAAGGAAUGACUCUAGUGGGCUCUAAGUCUUGUUGGGCUUGCUUUCAUCUCUCUACUAGCCCACGUUAAGAUAUUGGCCCUCGAAGCGUGAAUUUUGGUUCCCAAGUCCAAAAUUACCGACUGGCCUUAUCAUAACGAUGGGCCUCGCAUGAUCCGUUACCUUCCACACCAUAUCCCGCCGUAUGAGCCCCAAACGUAGCUUGGGCCUACUCGUAUCGCGUGAUAAAUAAGCGUGUUGGUCUAUUUGGAAAUCCCUGUCAAUCGUUUGAAUAUUUAGGCAUCUCGUAUCGCUUGUUAAAUAGAGAAUUCCCUUUCGCCGUAAAAUGGGCUUGCUUGAAGGCCCAGUUAGGUUAUGAGGUCGAUGACUCGUUCCCUUUGCCUGUCACUUAGUCAAAUUCGAACUUGUGGAGAUUUGGGUAUCAACAAUGCCAACCAGUGAACUUUUGACCAACUUUUCCAAGACUUAAUUUAAUGCAAGUGUUGGUAGUCCAUCAAUUGAUAAUUUUAUGCAAUUAUCAUAAUUAUGCAUUUGAACUCGGCCAUUUGAAUUAUGGUUUCAUCAAUCCAUUUUGUGCCUAUGUGCAAUUUCUCUCUCUCUUUGUAGCUCGUUGCAAUUUGCACAUAUAUACACAUGUAUUAAUGUUCAUUGACUUCUCAUUCAUGAUGAAGCAGACUAUCAAAGUGUACUCACAAUUUGCUAGUUUGAAUUUAAUUCCCACUAGGCCCAACUUGUGGCACAUAGUUACGGAUGCACGCAUUUUUCUCGAUAAAUAUUUACCCAAAGGCAUUUAUGCAAUUAUAUUGCCAACAUUUUUUUCGAGAAAGUCCCCCCUGCACUGAAUAACUAGAAACUUGAUGUACACCAAGAAACAUGAUGUGCUAACCAAUGAUGCUCUAU